UGAGGAAUAUUGGUCAAUGGACGAGAGUCUGAACCAGCCAAGUAGCGUGCAGGAUGACGGCCCUAUGGGUUGUAAACUGCUUUUGUUUGGGAAUAAUCGACAUUACGUGUAAUGUUUUGCAUGUACCAUUCGAAUAAGGACCGGCUAAUUCCGUGCCAGCAGCCGCGGUAAUACGGAAGGUCCAGGCGUUAUCCGGAUUUAUUGGGUUUAAAGGGAGUGUAGGCGGUUGGUUAAGCGUGUUGUGAAAUGUAGAUGCUCAACAUCUGACUUGCAGCGCGAAAUGGCUGACUUGAGUACACACAACGUAGGCGGAAUUCAUGGUGUAGCGGUGAAAUGCUUAGAUAUCAUGAAGAACUCCGAUUGCGAAGGCAGCUUAAGGGAGCGAAAAAGAAGCUGAAGCUCGAAGGUGCGGGUAUCGAACAGG
rnacentral:rRNA from 1 species